GGUAGUAUUUAAGAUGAGGCGUUGGUGCUGUUGCUAAACUAUACGUACAUCCAUUGUACUUUUAAAACCAUAAAUCAUACUAUUACAACACUAACUUUCAUCACAAACCAUCAAGACUUAAAAAAAAUUACAUACAAGGUUAAAAUAAUGCAGGAAAUUAAUGAUGAGGUGGCACCUUCUCACCGUCAGGGAGGUGUAUCACUCCGCCAGCAGCAAACUUGACGUCAUGGGCCAGGGCAUGCAGCGGCGUGCAGUGCGUGGGUAUGGUGACUGUGUGGCCUCUGAUGUAGAGGUGUGUGAGCUGCUGGACGAGAGAAGAGCAAACUAAAAGUAAACAUGGGAUUGCUGCCGCCUCAGGACACUAGGAGCAUUGCGGAAGCGCUGAGGAAGACAUCACAACCCUUGACACAGCGAACACAACUCUGUACUGAGGCUGGCACUGGCUUCUCCCAACACCUCACGUGGUCAUUGCAACAAAAGGAGGCAACUCCCGCCUCCAGCACCACCACCAUAUACCCGCCUCUCUCCCUGCCGGCCAUGUUAACACUCAGUUAAGUGCCACCGAAGUCCCGAGCGGC